rnacentral:rRNA from 1 species
UCGGAGCUUGCUCCGGGCGAUCAGUGGCGAACGGGUGAGUAACACGUGAGUAACCUGCCCCAGACUCUGGGAUAACAUCGGGAAACCGGUGCUAAUACCGGAUAUGAGACGAGACCGCAUGGUCAUUGUCUGGAAAGAUUUAUCGGUCUGGGAUGGACUCGCGGCCUAUCAGCUAGUUGGUGAGGUAAUGGCCCACCAAGGCGACGACGGGUAGCCGGCCUGAGAGGGCGACCGGCCACACUGGAACUGAGACACGGUCCAGACUCCUACGGGAGGCAGCAGUGGGGAAUAUUGCACAAUGGGCGCAAGCCUGAUGCAGCAACGCCGCGUGGGGGAUGAAGGCCUUCGGGUUGUAAACCCCUUUUAGCAGGGAAGAAGCGAAAGUGACGGUACCUGCAGAAAAAGCGCCGGCUAACUACGUGCCAGCAGCCGCGGUAAUACGUAGGGCGCAAGCGUUGUCCGGAAUUAUUGGGCGUAAAGAGCUCGUAGGCGGUUUGUCGCGUCUGCUGUGAAAGUCCGAGGCUCAACCUCGGAUCUGCAGUGGGUACGGGCAGACUAGAGUGUGGUAGGGGAGACUGGAAUUCCUGGUGUAGCGGUGGAAUGCGCAGAUAUCAGGAGGAACACCAAUGGCGAAGGCAGGUCUCUGGGCCACAACUGACGCUGAGGAGCGAAAGCGUGGGUAGCAAACAGGAUUAGAUACCCUGGUAGUCCACGCCGUAAACGGUGGGCACUAGAUGUGGGGCUCUUUCCAUGAGUUCCGCGUCGCAGCUAACGCAUUAAGUGCCCCGCCUGGGGAGUA